GCUUAGUACUGCUGUGCAACAGCCACUUUAGUAUAGUAUCAUUUAAUUUUUUAAAAGAAGAUACAAGUUACUGGCUCCACUCUAAGGCUUAAGCAGAAUCACUUUGCCAAGCUUACUUAGCUAGUAAAUGGCAGUGCUGGGUAUCCGUAUCAAAGUUUCUCUGCUGCGGGUUUUUUCCUGAUAAACUAGGCUGCCUCAUUUUUCAGCCCCUACUGUGUAAGGCACUAUAACUUAAAUUAUGUGAUAUUAUUGUCUCUUUAAAGAUAAAGAUAGACUUAGAUGAAGGUCCUUGCCCAGAGUCGCACAGUAAGGACAGACACACAGAAUACGGCAUUCCCAUCACAGCUGAAAGGACUAUUUCUGGCAAACAAUGUGUUUAUGGUGCAGAAGACUGAGAAAGAAGAACAUGGUCCCCCAUUCUACAUCCCUAUAAAUUCUGACAGACUUUUAGUUACAAAAUUAUUUUCAUUUUAGUCAGUCUCUGUGACAGACUUUAUUUUCUUGGGCUCCAAAAUCACUGCAGAUUGGUGACUGCAGCCAUGAAAUUAAAAGAUGCUUGCACCUUGGAAGAAAAGCUGUGACCAACCUAGAUGGCAUAUUAAAAAACAGACAUUAUUUUGCCAAAAAAGGUCUGUCUAAUCAAAGCUAUAGUUUUCCCAGUAGUCACAUAUGGAUGUGAGAGUCAGACCAUAAAGAAGACUGAGUGCCAAAGAAUUGAUACUUUUGAACUGUGGUGUUGGAGAAGACUCUUGAGAGCCCUUUGGACUGCAAGGAGAUCAAACCAGUCAAUCCUAAAGGAAAUCAGUCCUGAAUAUUCAUUGGAAGGACUGAUGCUAAAGUUGAAACUCCAAUACUUUGGCCACCUGAUGCGAAGAGCCGACUCAUUAGAAAAGACCCUGAUGCUGGGAAAGAUUGAGGGCAGGAGGAGAAGGGGAUGACAGAGGAUGAGAUGGUUGGAUGGCAUCACCAACUCAAUGGACAUGAGUUUGAGUAAGCUCUGGGAGAUGGUGAAGGACAGGGACGCCUGUUUUGCUGCAGUCCAUGGGGUCGCAAAGAGACUCAACCAAGCAACUGAAUAACAACAUAAUCAUGUUUACUCAUCUUCUUCUAAGGAUUCCCACCUUUUUGUCAGAGAUGCUGUGACUGUGACCUAUGGUAACUCAAACAUGGAACUGGAAGGCAUCAAGAUUUCGUAACCCAUUCUCAGACGUCUCUGCAGUGUUAGACCCUACAGUUAUAG
ensembl:lncRNA